AAACGACUAGAAAUUUUGUGCAUGUUGUUUGGUCAUUUGUGCUACUAAGAAAAUAUUUACUGUCUCUAUCAAUACAUAUUAAAAGCUACCAUCACACUUUUAACACUGUGAUCUUACCAUCUGAUAAGUCAAAAAUGUUUGUUUAAAAAACACAAGUAAACAAGUACUUAGAGAUGAUAACACCCGAGUUCUGGUUAACACCUCUGAAUAUUUUCCUAACCAUCUUAGAUUUCACAUCCGUGCUUUUAAAAAAGUAAUAGGCUUUGCUUUCUGCAAAUCAAAAAAUUUCUUCUUCUCCUGACUAACUACAAGGAGUAUUGCCAGAUACUCAGCACUUUAUUGCCUGUGCAGCAUUGGUUUCAUUUUUGGCCUAGGAGCAGGAAGGGACAAGGACAACAUUUCAGCAGCAAUCCAAUCCUGACUGCAGAGACGAGGAAGCAGCAGGAGCACACCUCAUUGCACAUCCUAGAAGACAUGAGUUUCAAUUCCAGCAAGAAUUUCCAAGAAUGAUGCAAGAUACAUGACGCUUAGCAGUGUCAUCUUUUUGCUGUAAGAUGCAUCAGAAUUCCAUAUGAGCAGCCACCCAACGACUUCACUGACUUUUGCAUUUCCAGUUAACUACCCUGAAUCGUAAAAUUCUGGGAAAGGAUCUGAGAAGUGUGUUCUUCAAUCUACUGCAACACUUCAGCAGUGAGGCUGAAUUUGCAUUACGUGUAGAGAAUCAUAUGUUGGAGUGCAUCAUUCAUACCCCCACGCAGAUCUGUUAGAUGCUUCUGCGAGGGGCUGAUAGUCCCUGUCUGCUUGCUUGCAGAACACCCAGAGAGCCGAUGGGAGGUCCACAUGUGGUUUAUUGACAGGAUCAGGCCCUGUGGCUGGAAGCAGUCAAAAUAUUUUGCAGUAUCAGCAAUAAUUCCAGUACCAGUAUUCCUCUCUUGCAGAGAUCUGUAAUUAAUCCUCCUCUGCCUGAAUUGUGAUCCUGACAGUCCAGGGCGAAGGGGAAGCAGGGUUGGGAUGGUCAGAGUGGAGGGCUAAUUCUCUCACUUCCACAUCUCACCAGAAUCAGAGACGGUCUCAAAUGUUGUCUGGUAAUUGGAACUGAACUUUUUUUCCAAUAUGAAAAAGAGAAAUUAAAAAGAAGUGCUGUGGUGGUGCCAUGAUCAAGAGGACCUAGAGGAAGCAAAGCAUUGAGGGAGCAGAAGAGGAAGCAAGUGCAUGUUUGCAGAAUAGUCACUGCUACCCUUCCAUACACAUUGCCAUCACCAGUGGCCUUUCCCAGGAGUAAAUGCACAUGUUCAUUCUCUGCUUUUCUUUUUCCUUAGAAGUUCAGAAUGAAAAAGCAAACAUGCAUAAGCUCUCCAAAGUUCUAUCUCCAUCCAUUCUUCCUCCUGGCAAAUGCUUCUAGUCCCUUCUGCAUACAAAGCAAUAUGAAUUUGAGCAAGAGUUACAUUUAAGACCUUGAGAUCAACUGGAGAAAGCUACGCUGGACAGCUGUCAUAACGUCAUGUCACAAAUGGAGAAGUGAGUUGCUGUUAUUUAACUUACUGACAUUCACAG
ensembl:lncRNA